GAAUGGCUGUGAAGCCUUUGUUGGGUGAGUGCAGCAGAGCAGAACAGAAGCCAAGCUGAGCGGAGCCUCGCUGUGCCCGUGGCAAGAACAGGCAAGGCACAGUCCACGUCAAGGGAGGAAAAGUCAACUCAAUUUUGCCUUUCAAGUGCUGAAGAUGUUUUGAAGGACGAAGAACGAGCAAUGGGUCAAGAAUGUGAAGGGUCAGAACUCAUCAUUGGUCCCCAUUAUGAAAGAGAACCACCAUUUGGGAAGGUGAAACUUUCUCCACCAGUUAAAGAGAGGAAGGAGUAGCACUGGAGCAGCCUGGAUACAUCAGCAAGCAAUCAAAAGUAAAAUUAGGAAAAUAAAAAUGACAGCUAUGCCUCCAUGAAUCCUCUGUUAAAUGUAACCAACAACUGGGCUACCACUACUCAGGCAUAUCAUAUGAAGCUGAUUACAGACACCUAGAGCCUAAAAUGACAAUUACAAUUGUUUUCCUUUAAAAUUGUUAGAAAAGCCUGAUAAUAUCCUCACUGUUUUUUGAUAAUGUGCUCAGUGUUUUCAACAUGUAAUAUUGGUAAAAUCUGCASAUGAAUAAAAUACAUUUUUAAA